CCUACGGGGGGCAGCAGUGAGGAAUAUUGGUCAAUGGGCGCGAGCCUGAACCCGCCAAGUAGCGUGAAGGAUGACUGCCCUACGGGUUGUAAACUUCUUUUAUAAUGGAAUAAAGUGAGGCACGUGUGCCUUUUUGUAUGUACUUUAUGAAUAAGGAUCGGCUAACUCCGUGCCAGCAGCCGCGGUAAUACGGAGGAUCCGAGCGUUAUCAGGAUUUAUUGGGUUUAAAGGGAGCGUAGAUGGGUUGUUAAGGAAGUUGUGAAAGUUUGCGGCUCAACCGUAAAAUUGCAAUUGAUACUGGCAGCCUUGAGUACAGUUGAGGUAGGCGGAAUGAGUGGUGUAGCGGUGAAAUGCUUAGAUAUCACGAAGAACUCCGAUUGCGAAGGCAGCUUACUAAACUGCCACUGACAUUGAUGCUCGAAAGUGUGGGUAUCAAACAGGAUUAGAUACCCCUGUAGUC
rnacentral:rRNA from 1 species